GGAGAGAUCCGAUACAUAUCCAGUUUUAAGAGUAAUUUGAUUUCACCAAGCAGACUGGAUUCAAAUAGCUACAGAUAAAGAGCUGAUGAUGGAAUCCUGAAUGUUAUGCAUGGUAGUAGGGUUGUUAUGAAGGGGAAGAAGUGUAGAGGACACUACUUCUUGAUAGGGAGCUCAAUGUGAGGUGGAGCUUCAGGUGUCAGUGGGAGCUCAGCAUGAGAUAGAGCUUUAGGUACAAGUAGAUUGGGCAUG
rnacentral:lncRNA from 1 species